rnacentral:rRNA from 1 species
GUAGGGAAUCUUCCGCAAUGGGCGCAAGCCUGACGGAGCAACGCCGCGUGAGCGAGGACGGCCUUCGGGUUGUAAAGCUCUGUUCUUCGGGAAGAAGGGCGGGAGGGCGAACAACUCUUCCGCUUGACGGUACCGAAGGAGAAAGCCCCGGCUAACUACGUGCCAGCAGCCGCGGUAAUACGUAGGGGGCGAGCGUUGUCCGGAAUUAUUGGGCGUAAAGCGCGCGUAGGCGGCUGGUUAAGUCCUGUGUGAAAGACCACGGCUCAACCGUGGGGGUGCACGGGAAACUGGCCGGCUUGAGUGCAGGAGAGGGGAGCGGAAUUCCCGGUGUAGCGGUGGAAUGCGUAGAGAUCGGGAGGAACACCAGUGGCGAAGGCGGCUCCCUGGCCUGUAACUGACGCUGAGGCGCGAAAGCGUGGGGAGCGAACAGGAUUAGAAACCCCGGUAGUCC